UCAAACUGCUGAUCUUUUGGUUAGCAGCCAUACCUCUUUACCACUGUGCCACCAGGGCUAUGGUUUUUUGUGUUUGUUUUUUUCACUGAAAGAUAUAUUGCCUGAAGGAGGGAGGGCAUUCUUGGCUGUUCUUUCAUUUCCCUGCAGUAGGAAGUAAAACCUCAGGCCUGAGGUGGAGUUUGAGAGGUUGUUUUUGAAGGAGAUGUGAUUUUCUUAUUGCCAAGUACAAACUCAACCAGACUUCCCAGAAGGAACUUGUCACAGAGUUGAAGAACUUUGGAGGCAGCAUACCAGCGCCCCGCCCUUGUCAGUCAGAAUGGUUCCUGAGGCCCACGGGAUUCAGUCUCUGAGAGAAGAGUCAUCAGAAAUGUGCUCACUCCAUUGGGAAAUGGGCUAGCCAGGAAGUAGAGCCUAUGUCACCUCACAUAGAGGCCGAUGUGUGUGUCUGAGACCAGAGUGUUCUUUGGACAGGCCUCCUUUGGAAGAUAUCAUUCAUAGCAGAAUUAUCUGGAAAGAGAAUGUCUUCUGUGAAAAGGAUGUUUGAGAAAUGCCAUGGAUUUGGCAAUGACGAAGAAAGAUAGGCAAACUUCCAGCUCUUCGUUUUUCUUAGAAGAAUUCAGCAUAUUAUUUUUUGUGUGACGUAUAGAAAGAACUCUUCUCUGUUCCUUUAAGAAACUUGCUUCCUUUUCUAGUAUGUUGGUUGGUUCUUCAUGAAGCAAGAAUGUAUUUUCCCUGAGGUGAGCUGACAAAAACAUUGUUCAUUGGUUCUUAGAUACUUACCAUACUGAUGUUGAAGAAGACUUUUUUUUUUUUUUGAUUAUCAAAAGGCAAGUGCCAAAAAGCUGAUUCUUAUGCAUCUGCAGUCUUACAUGGAGGCUGAACUGUACCUUAGAUCCCGUAGUUAUUAUAUUAAAGAGUACUAUUCAGAUAAGAAUGUGAGUAGUUAUUAUAAUUUUACCCCUGAUCUGGUAUUUAAGUCUUCAAAUAGACUUAAGGAAUUAUUACUUAAAAGGAUAGCUUUCAAAAACAAUUUUCAACUGAGUAAAUCACACUAGGUAUUUAAAAAGGAAGGAGUUUUUCAAAUUAAUAUUUUUAUAAUAAUUAUGUUUUAUUAUAAUGUUUUUAAUUUUAUAAUGCUUUUAUAAUUAAAGGAAUUUAAUAAAGCC